GAUGAACGCUGGCGGCGUGCCUAAUACAUGCAAGUCGAGCGAACGGACGAGAAGCUUGCUUUUCUGAUGUUAGCGGCGGACGGGUGAGUAACACGUGGAUAACCUACCUAUAAGGCUGGGAUAACUUCGGGAAACCGGAGCUAAUACCGGAUAAUAUUUUGAACCGCAUGGUUCAAAAGUGAAAGACGGUCUUGCUGUCACUUAUAGAUGGAUCCGCGCUGCAUUAGCUAGUUGGUAAGGUAACGGCUUACCAAGGCAACGAUGCAUAGCCGACCUGAGAGGUUGAUCGGCCACACUGGAACUGAGACACGGUCCAGACUCCUACGGGAGGCAGCAGUAGGGAAUCUUCCGCAAUGGGCGAAAGCCUGACGGAGCAACGCCGCGUGAGUGAUGAAGGUCUUCGGAUCGUAAAACUCUGUUAUUAGGGAAGAACAUAUGUGUAAGUAACUGUGCACAUCUUGACGGUACCUAAUCAGAAAGCCACGGCUAACUACGUG
rnacentral:rRNA from 1 species